UGCCUUGGCUCAUGCCAAAACAUAACAAACUUCAACGCUGUAUUAGUAGACGCCGAGGCGGUUGAAAAUUCAGCAAAAACAAACAU
rnacentral:ncRNA from 1 species